rnacentral:rRNA from 1 species
GGUUAAGCGACUAAGCGUACACGGUGGAUGCCCUGGCAGUCAGAGGCGAUGAAGGGCGUGCUAAUCUGCGAUAAGCGCCGGUAAGGUGAUAUGAACCGUUAUAACCGGCGAUACCCGAAUGGGGAAACCCAGUGUGACUCGUCACACUAUCAUUAACUGAAUCCAUAGGUUAAUGAGGCGAACCGGGGGAACUGAAACAUCUAAGUACCCCGAGGAAAAGAAAUCAACCGAGAUUCCCCCAGUAGCGGCGAGCGAACGGGGAGGAGCCCAGAGCCUGAAUCAGCAUGUGUGUUAGUGGAAGCGUCUGGAAAGGCGCGCGAUACAGGGUGACAGCCCCGUACACAAAAGCGCAUAUGCUGUGAGCUCGAUGAGUAGGGCGGGACACGUGGUAUCCUGUCUGAAUAUGGGGGGACCAUCCUCCAAGGCUAAAUACUCCUGACUGACCGAUAGUGAACCAGUACCGUGAGGGAAAGGCGAAAAGAACCCCGGCGAGGGGAGUGAAAAAGAACCUGAAACCGUGUACGUACAAGCAGUGGGAGCACCCUUUUGGGUGUGACUGCGUACCUUUUGUAUAAUGGGUCAGCGACUUAUAUUCUGUAGCA